rnacentral:rRNA from 1 species
AUUGAACGAGGGAGGAAGGAGGUACAAAGGCAAGUCGAACGGCAGCACGGGCUUCGGCCUGGUGGCGAGUGGCGAACGGGUGAGUAAUAUAUCGGAACGUACCCAGAAGUGGGGGAUAACGUAGCGAAAGUUACGCUAAUACCGCAUACGAUCUAUGGAUGAAAGCAGGGGACCGCAAGGCCUUGUGCUCCUGGAGCGGCCGAUAUCUGAUUAGCUAGUUGGUGAGGUAAAGGCUCACCAAGGCGACGAUCAGUAGCUGGUCUGAGAGGACGACCAGCCACACUGGAACUGAGACACGGUCCAGACUCCUACGGGAGGCAGCAGUGGGGAAUUUUGGACAAUGGGCGCAAGCCUGAUCCAGCAAUGCCGCGUGAGUGAAGAAGGCCUUCGGGUUGUAAAGCUCUUUUGUCAGGGAAGAAACGGUAGAGGCUAAUAUCCUUUGCUAAUGACGGUACCUGAAGAAUAAGCACCGGCUAACUACGUG